GAUGAACGCUGGCGGCGUGCCUAAUACGUGCAAGUCGAGCGAACAGACGAGGAGCUUGCUCCUCUGACGUUAGCGGCGGACGGGUGAGUAACACGUGGAUAACCUACCUAUAAGACUGGGAUAACUUCGGGAAACCGGAGCUAAUCCCGGAUAAUAUAUUGAACCGCAUGGUUCAAUAGUGAAAGACGGUUUUGCUGUCACUUAUAGUUGUAUCCGCGCCGCAUUAGCUAGUUGGUAAGGUAACGGCUUACCAAGGCAACGAUGCGUAGCCGACCUGAGAGGGUGAUCGGCCAGACUGGAACUGAGAAACGGUCCAGACUCCUAAGGGAGGCAGCAGUAGGGAAUCUUCCGCAAUGGGCGAAAGCCUGACGGAGCAACGCCGCGUGAGUGAUGAAGGUCUUCGGAUCGUAAAACUCUGUUAUUAGGGAAGAACAAAUGUGUAAGUAACUAUGCACGUCUUGACGGUACCUAAUCAGAAAGCCACGGCUAACUACGUG
rnacentral:rRNA from 1 species